UGUCAGUAUCAGUCCAGGUGGUCGCCUUCGCCACUGGUGUUCCUUCCUAUAUCUACGCAUUUCACCGCUACACAGGAAAUUCCACCACCCUCUACCAUACUCUAGCUUGUCAGUUUUGAAUGCAGUUCCCAGGUUGAGCCCGGGGCUUUCACAUCCAACUUAACAAACCACCUACGCGCGCUUUACGCCCAGUAAUUCCGAUUAACGCUUGCACCCUCUGUAUUACCGCGGCUGCUGGCACAGAGUUAGCCGGUGCUUAUUCUGUCGGUAACGUCAAAAUUGCAGAGUAUUAAUCUACAACCCUUCCUCCCAACUUAAAGUGCUUUACAAUCCGAAGACCUUCUUCACACACGCGGCAUGGCUGGAUCAGGCUUUCGCCCAUUGUCCAAUAUUCCCCACUGCUGCCUCCCGUAGGAGUCUGGACCGUGUCUCAGUUCCAGUGUGACUGAUCAUCCUCUCAGACCAGUUACGGAUCGUC
rnacentral:rRNA from 1 species